rfam:Gorilla gorilla gorilla genomic chromosome, chr1, whole genome shotgun sequence
GCAUAGGUGAUUCAGUGGUAGAAUUCUUGCCUGCCAUGCAGGAGGCCCAGGUUUGAUUCCUGGCCCUUGCA